CCUACGGGUGGCAGCAGUAGGGAAUAUUGCUCAAUGGGGGAAACCCUGAAGCAGCAACGCCGCGUGGAGGAUGAAGGUUUUCUGAUUGUAAACUCCUUUUGUUAGAGAAGAUAAUGACGGUAUCUAACGAAUACGCCCCGGCUAACUCCGUGCCAGCAGCCGCGGUAAUACGGAGGGUGCAAGCGUUACUCGGAAUCACUGGGCGUAAAGAGCGCGUAGGCGGGAUAGCAAGUCAGAUGUGAAAUCCUAGGGCUUAACCAUAGAACUGCAUUUGAAACUGUUAUUCUAGAGUAUGGGAGAGGUAGGUGGAAUUCUUGGUGUAGGGGUAAAAUCCGUAGAGAUCAAGAGGAAUACUCAUUGCGAAGGCGACCUGCUAGAACAUAACUGACGCUGAUGCGCGAAAGCGUGGGGAGCAAACAGGAUUAGAUACCCGAGUAGUC
rnacentral:rRNA from 1 species